GACGAACCGAGCAAACGUUAUUCGGAAUCACUGGGCUUAAAGGGCGCGUAGGCGGGCAUCCAAGUCAGUGGUGAAAUCCGGCAGCUUAACUGUCGAACUGCCGUGGAUACAGGGUGUCUCGAGGGAGGUAGGGGCGUGCGGAACUAUUGGUGGAGCGGUGAAAUGCGUUGAUAUCAAGAGGAACUCCGGUGGCGAAGGCGGCACGCUGGACCUCUUCUGACGCUGAGGCGCGAAAGCCAGGGGAGCAAACGGG
rnacentral:rRNA from 1 species